rnacentral:lncRNA from 1 species
GUGACCUCUGUGGUUAGUUCAUCUGGAUUCCGUCAGUAAUAGGGUGAGAGGGAGGUCAGGCCUACAGGCCAGAAAAAUCCUAUGUAAAUUUUAGCCAAGCUGAGAGCAAUGUUAAGGCCUCUUGGUCAUACCUUACUAAGGGAUCAUUUUAAUAUAUUGUUUAAAAUACUCAAGGAAUUCUGUGCCAUCUAAGUAGUAGAAGAUUUUUAUUCAUUUAUUCUAGGGAAAACAUUAGCUGAUUGUGCACACUAUGUAUGCGGGAGGAGUAGGUUGCUUGAAUGGAGUCACAACGUCAUGGUAAUCUGCUCCUGGCAGAAACUGCGAUGGAUUUGGUUAGUUUUGACUGAGUUUCUGAAUCAGAGGAUUAAGAUUAUAACAAUUGAC